ACAGGUACGUGGGCGGGCGGAUUGUGGUGGCUGCGCUUGCGAGGACCCUGAGGUAGGUUGGGUGGUUUCAGCAGGAACGCAUCCACUGUCUGAGUUUAAACUUGGUUUUGUGGGGGGACGAACAGCGUGACAAUUAAAGAAGAUGUAGGAAUCAAAAGCUUCCUGAGGCCUACAACCAGAAGCAGAUGCUGGUGCCAUGCUUCUACAGCCUGCAGAACUCAGAGCAACUGGGAACCUAAUUCUGACCAACAAGGAGGAAUUGUUUGGCUAAUUGGAAGUGACAGAAACCUUGGGAGAAAGCAACCGCAUACCAAGGAUAAUUGUAAGAAGGUAACAUGGGCCCUAAAGGAUAGUGUCAAGAAACCUGAAACCCCCAAAUGAGGUGAGACUUGCAAAAAAUGCUAAGGAAGGACAAAGAACAGACCUUUUAAAAUUCUGUUCAGAACCAGAAGAUGAUCAAGAAAGGGAAACGCCCACUAGCAGCUUCUACUGUAAGGUUAGAGCUGACAGAGAAAGAACUCCUUAGCUACUAUUUGCUACAUUCUC
rnacentral:antisense_RNA from 1 species